GGAAGCCAACACCCAAAAAACAAAUAAUUGGAUAAAACUUCUAUUGACGUAAUUCUUUUUCAAUUACAAUAAUUAUAGGACAUUCACGCAAAUAAAUCCCCUAAAUCAUGUAAUCACUGUUUCCGGCAAAGUACCAACCCGCUUGAUUUUUUUUGUGAAAAAAUCAGUAUUAUCCAUACAAACAAAUCAAAUUGGUAAUGGCAAAGAUUAAAAGUAAACCCAGUAAACCCAUACCCAACCCAAGACAAACAAAUAUUAAAGGUAAUAACUAAAGAAAGCUAUAUGUGUGAAUACAUGAACAAGUAUACAGUCAUGUUCCAGCUCAACAGGCUCUGGAUUGACAAUGCUCUUUUUCACAGCUAAAUGAUACAUACAUCAAAUCACAUAUUGAGGGGAAAAAAAGAGAGAAAACACAAGCAUCUGAGCCACAGUACAAAAAAGAGGUUGAUGGUCAAGUACAAAAGAGAGAAAACACAAAUUGCCAAAAGCAGUAGUACCUCUGCUCUCAAGAGAUUAGUCCAUGGUCGGCGGCGAAACUCACCAAAUCGACGGGAAAGAGGUUGAUGGUCGACGGUCGGCGGUCGGAGGUCGACGAGAAAAAGAUUGACGAUCGACGUGAAAGAGAAAGAGAGGCCAGGGGGAGGAAUCGGGAUUCGAGAGAGAGAAUAGGGGUUCGGGGGGGAAUCGGGUUCAGGAGAGGAGAUUUCAGAAUGUGGAGAACGGGAUGAAUGAAGGGGUUCAGCGAAAUCGAUUGAUGGGGUUAGGCUGCUGCCUGCUGGGUUGGGUUAACAUGUUUAAACCGGUUUUUCG
rnacentral:lncRNA from 1 species